UUUACGUAUGAGAUAAGAUUAAAAUUUCAGAAACGUAAAAUUACGGUGUAUUGAUGUAAAAAUAGAGGGGGGUGAAGAAUAACUAUUCCUCACCCAGGGUGACGAAUAACUAUUCCUCACCCAGGGUGACGAAUAGCGCGUAUUUUUCAGUGUCCGAAGAGGCGUCCACCUGCAUCAGGUAGCAUUGUGCUAGCUCCAAGACAUGUUUACAACUUUUGCAUAAGCUCUGAGAUGAAAAACAGAAAUCAAUUUCAAAACUCCCUCAAGUACAAGUUCCUCCUAGAAUUAAACAACUUGCGUACCCUAGUUGUACGAUGGCUUAUUUGCGGGUGAUAUAACUUGAUUUACCGGAGACGCCCUUAGAACAAGUAUAACGGCAACCCCAUAGUCCGUUUAAUUGGGGAUGAGAACUUAUCGCUCUUGGGUGCCAUACAUGCAUCCCUAUAUGAAUAUAGCAUUUACAAAAUAUCAAGAUUUUUUUUGAAAAAAAUCAUGAAUUUUGGUAUAUGAAACUUGAACCCAUUGUACACACGUGUUUAUCUUUGUAGGGAUUGGAUGCCUGUAGUAAUCUCAUUGAAAAAGUGGGAAAAAAACUAUGUAUAGAAAAAACUAUUUGGAUGGAUCAUAUGUGAGGCUGUAUUUCCUUGGUCACGGAUACCAUGGGCACCCAUUCCCAGGAAACUGAACACAUGUGUACAAUUGACACCCAGAUUUCAUAUUCCAAAAUUUUUUUUUAUUUUUUGACAUGUCUUGGUAUUUUCUUUAACGCUAGAUUCAUACAGGAGUGUAUGGCACCUGGGAACUCCAAUGCAUUUCCUGUUUAAGUGGUGUUUGUCUAUGUAUUAAUAUAGACAUAAAACAAAUAAAAGUGUGGACUCUCAUGUAAAGGCAUAGCUCUACACAUGAUACUACUAGAAAAAGAAACUUUAUAGUUUUUUGAGGUGUAAUGCAACGAUCUAUUCAUCAAUAAUCACAGUUUGUGAGAUCACAGUUCAUUGACAACAUGUUUCCCAUCUGACAGCAGCGAGCUAUACUGUUUGUCAUCCUCGCACAGACAAGGCAAAAUGUCUUAGCAAACCCACUAGUCCAUUCCAACCAAGCCUCGUGUGGCGAACUAGCUGGUCUGGCCCGACGGUCAGGAUAAUGCUAACUCGUAUGGCGAACUAGCUGGCCUGGCUCGAUGGUCAGGAUAAUGCUAACUCGGAGGCAACCAAAGCAUGCCGGUGACAAAGUUAAUGUUCAGUACAGGGGCGCAGGUGCAUGGAAGACCGUUCCAAAGCAUCCAAACAAUCACGCCCUCCACCGCACCUCGGCCUCAUCAUGGCAUUGGGUACCAAACCCGAUCAGUAAAAACCUCAUUAGGAUAAGGAUAUGGGAAAUAAAAAUACCCAUGGGUUUCAACAUAGGUAAAGAUUAUAUUCAAUGGGUAAGGCGGGUAUGGAUAUGGGAUGGCAAUAUCCAUACCACGAACUCACAAACUUGUAUAAUAUAAAACACGCUAUCAAG
rnacentral:lncRNA from 1 species